rnacentral:rRNA from 1 species
CCUACGGGAGGCAGCAGUGGGGGAUAUUGGACAAUGGGGGGAACCCUGAUCCAGCGACGCCGCGUGAGUGAAGAAGUAUUUCGGGAUGUAAAGCUCUGUCAGCAGGGAAGAAAGAAAUGACGGUACCUGACCAAGAAGCCCCGGCUAACUACGUGCCAGCAGCCGCGGUAAUACGGAGGGGGCAAGCGUUAUCCGGAAUUAUUGGGCGUAAAGCGAGCGCAGGCGGAUGCUUAGGUCUGAUGUGAAAGCCGUCGGCUCAACCGACGAAGUGCAUCUGAAACCGGUCGACUUGAGUGCCGAAGAGGCUAGCGGAAUUCCUAGUGUAGCGGUGAAAUGCGUAGAUAUUAGGAGGAACACCAGUGGCGAAGGCGGCUGUCUGGUCGGUAACUGACGCUGAGGCGCGAAAGCAUGGGUAGCAAACAGGAUUAGAUACCCGAGUAGUC